rnacentral:rRNA from 1 species
AUGGACUUUCCGGGAGGGAGCGGGAGGCCGCCGCCGCCGCCGCAGCAGCACCAGCACCAGCUGCUGCCGCCGAUGACGCCGCUGCCGCUCACGCGCCAGGGCUCCUCGGUCUACUCGCUCACGUUCGACGAGUUCCAGAGCGCGAUCGGCGGGCCGGGCAAGGACUUCGGAUCCAUGAACAUGGACGAGCUCCUCCGCAACAUCUGGACGGCCGAGGAGUCGCAGGCCAUCGGCGCCGGCCCCAACGCCGCCGCCUCGUCCUCCGCCGCGGCGGGGCCGGACCACGGCGGCAUCCAGCGCCAGGGCUCCCUCACGCUCCCCCGGACGCUCAGCCAGAAGACCGUCGACGAGGUCUGGCGCGACAUGAUGUUCUUCGGAGGGCCCUCCGCCUCCGCCUCCGCGGCCGCCGAGGCUCCCCCGCCGGCCCAGAGGCAGCAGACGCUCGGGGAGGUCACGCUCGAGGAGUUCCUCGUGCGCGCCGGCGUCGUGCGCGAGGACAUGCCGGGCCCGCCGCCGCCCGUCUCGCCGGCGCCCGUGGCCCAGGCGCCGCCUCCGCAGCCGCAGAUGCUGUUCCCUCAGAGCAACAUGUUUGCUCCUAUGGUGAAUCCUCUGUCCCUGGCGAAUGGGUUGAUGACCGGAGCAUACGGACAGGGAGGAGGCGGUGGUGGUGGUGCGCCCGCUAUGGUUUCGCCGUCGCCGACGGGGAGGCCGGUCAUGUCCAACGGCUACGGCAAGAUGGAAGGCCUCAACUUGUCCUCGCUGUCGCCGCCGCCGAUGCCGUAUGUUUUCAGCGGCGGGCUGAGGGGGAGGAAGCCACCGGCCAUGGAGAAGGUGGUCGAGAGGAGGCAGCGGCGGAUGAUCAAGAACCGGGAGUCUGCGGCGAGGUCGCGCCAGAGGAAACAGAGUUACAUGAUGGAAUUGGAGACUGAGGUGGCAAAACUUAAAGAGCGGAAUGAGGAGUUGCAGAGAAAACAGGCGGAGAUCCUAGAGAGGCAAAAGAAUGAGGUAUUCGAGAAGGUUAGCAGGCAAGCUGGACCUACCUCAAAGAGGAUCUGCCUGCGGAGGACGCUGACGGGUCCUUGA